GUGGUAUUGCCGACCCGAGAGUCGAACUCAAACUCUCUAACCAUUAGGCCACAACUGUGCUUGAUUGGUUCUGCUUUCUUGCGAUAAUUUCUUUAAUUUUAUUCAUCAGUGAUUCAUUUUACUCCCUAACAGACUAAAGAGCCAACUGAUACUGGGUCUCUGGUGCUCAGAGGACUUUCUGUCAUCCAUGGCCACAAACUUACAGAUUUCUACAAAGUAUGCUUUGAUUCUGUUGACAUUGGAAUCCUCCUCAUUGAGCAAGAAAGCUCUCAUCUUCUCUCCAUCUCAAUCCAGCCUCAUUGAAGAUCAUCAUUGAAGGAGAAGUUGUGACUGACAAUAUUGACGACUUGCCAAAAGCUAUGUGCAUUCUGUAUGGACUUGCAUACACACUGCAUCUCACUUGCCCCACUUACCACCGCUCGUCUCCUCACUUGCUCUCCCUUCGUAGACCUCGCUGAACCACGCCUCCCCCGCCACAUGCAUAUCCAGGCAUUCACAAGGGAUAUAGUAUAUGUUGUUGAAUACUGUGUGUUCAUGUUUUUUCUAUAAACUAGAUACAAUUGUUAGUAAGCGCUUUCAAAGCUUAUUUUUACUUGUCCUGUGGCUGACAAGUUUAAUGCAUUGUCAUGUUACCAUUUCUUUGGUAAACAAUAAAAAAAAAACAUUUGUGCAUUGAAA